AUACCACGAUGCAAGCACUUCCUUAACAACUCUUUGAAUCUCUCCCAUGCAUCAUACAGUGAUUCCCCUCCCAUCUGGUAGAAAUCAUUAAUUUCCUCUCUCAACUU